rnacentral:rRNA from 1 species
AUGGUGGUCGUCUCGCCUGCAACUGCAAAUGCACGCAUCUGCAUCUUCCUCACCGGCUGCCUGCUCUGCUUCCUCCUGUCCCGCGGCCAUCUCGACGCUGCAGCCGCCUCCCCGGCGUGGCCACUGUCCUUCAGCUUCGACUUCUCAAACACCUCCAACAACCGUCUGCAAGAGCAAGACCUCCGGCUCGAGGGCGACGCGGAAAAGAAGGACGAUCUGGUUGACCUCACCUGCAACUUCGGCAAGCCCGAGAAGAACGAGUACUGCAAGGGCCGGAUGUCGUACCGCGACCCGGUGCCCUUGUACGACAACAGCACCGGCGAGGUGGCCAGCUUUACCACAACCUUCACCUUCUCCACCCACAUUCUGCCCAACACAACAUGGAAGGGGGAAGGCAUAACCUUCUUCCUCUCCGCCUACCCGUCAAGAUUACCGCUGCAGUCGUGGGGCAACUUACUCGGCCUCACCGAUAGUGACGAUACUAGCGCCACCGGUGCAGAGCGGUUCGUCGCCGUCGAGUUCGACACCUCCUCCGACUGGUGGGAUCCCAUUGGAGACGAGCACAUCGGCAUCGACUGCAACUCCAUCACCUCGGUCAGCACCACCAGGUUGCUGGGCUACAGCCUCAAUGGCACCAUGACGGCGACCAUUACUUUUGACAACACCACCCGGACGCUGGAGGCCACCCUGCACUUUGAUUACGAUCCUUCUCUUCCUACCGCUCGGAUCAAGACGCAGUUACCUGAUCGCCUCGAUGACUUGCUCCCGCCGGAGGUGUCGGUCGGGUUCUCUGCGGCCACUAGUAACUACACUGAGCUGCAUCAGAUACACUCUUGGUCCUUCAGCUCAACUAUCGCACCCAGAGCCAGAGAAACACCUACGUGGGCUAAGAGGAUCCAACCAGAGCAAGGUGAUGAGGUGCUCCGUAAGAAAGGACGUGGUCGUUCGUUCAUUAUUGGAGGAGCAUUCAGUGCGAUCGCCUUGGUGGUAAUGUGGUCGAUCUUGUCAUGGUGUAGGUGGAGAAGCACACGCGACUCCUUUGGGAUGGCAAGUCGUCUUAAGAGAUUUAAGUACCACGACUUGUCUAUUGCCACCGACAGAUUCUCCGAUGAGAAGAAGAUCGGGGCGGGUGGCUUCGGUGUGGUAUACAGUGGGAGCCUCAAGACCGACCAACCGGUAGCCGUGAAGAAGAUUCUCAAGGACUCGAGGGGUGAAUUCAAGGACUUCCUAGCGGAGUUGGACGCCAUCGGCCGAACAGGCCAUGGCAACGUGGUCAGACUCGAAGGCUGGUGCUGCAGUAUAAAUAAUUUCAUGUUUUGGUGA